rnacentral:rRNA from 1 species
GACGAACGCUGGCGGCGUGCUUAACACAUGCAAGUCGAACGGUGAAGCGCCUUCCUUUUUGGUGGGUGUGGAUGAGUGGCGAACGGGUGAGUAACACGUGAGUAACCUGCCCCCUUCUUCUGGAUAACCGCAUGAAAGUGUGGCUAAUACGGGAUAUUCUGGGUCUGUCGCAUGAUGGGUCUGGGAAAGAUAUUGUUUCGGUGGGGGAUGGGCUCGCGGCCUAUCAGCUUGUUGGUGGGGUGAUGGCCUACCAAGGCGGUGACGGGUAGCCGGCCUGAGAGGGUGGACGGUCACAGGGGGACUGAGACACGGCCCAGACUACUACGGGAGGCAGCAGUGGGGAAUAGUGCACAAGGGGAGGAAGGCUGAUGCAGCGACGCCGCGUGAGAGAUGGAGGCCUUCGGGUUGUGAACCUCUUUCGCCAGUGAAGCAGGCCUGCCUAGUUUGUGGGUGGGUUGACGGUAGCUGGAUAAGAAGCGCCGGCUAACUACGUG